AUCCUGCUGACGAGUCCCAAAUAGGACGAAACGCGCGUCGUGGAU
rnacentral:hammerhead_ribozyme from 1 species